AUGGAUAAAAAUAUACAUGGAUGCAAGCCAGCAAGCGUCUCGCUGACUGAAAACAGAAGUGGAGCGGGCGGUCUAGCAAGAACUCCCUCCGCCUUUGUUGCUGCCUGGAGUAAGCCGCACCAUAAUGUCACGAAUCCGCUUAUUGCAGAAGCUCUGGCUCUACAAGACGGAGUAAUUUUUGGCAAACUUCGGGGUUUUCCACGAGUGGUGUUUGAAGUAGAUUGCUUGGAGUUGGUACAACUCUGGAACUCGCGACAAUUUUCACGCUCUGUUAUAGCGCCUAUUCUUCUCGAAAUUGAAGGGCUAGCCUCAACUUUUCUUAGUUUUGAUGUUCAACAUGUAAUGAGACAAGCCAACAAUUCAGCGCACCUAUGUGCAAAGCAUGCAAGCACACUGGGAGUGACUGAUUGCUGGAUGAACUCUCCUCCCGGUUUCCUCGUGACGAGCCUGUUGGCUGAUCGCGCUGGAGCUGGAAAUGAUUGA
rnacentral:rRNA from 1 species